rnacentral:snRNA from 1 species
GUACUUGUUUCGGCAGUACAUGUACUAAAAUUGGAACAAUACAGAUAAGAUUAGCAUGGCCCCUGCGCAAGGAUGACACGCAAAAUCGUGAAGCGUUCCACAUUUUU